rnacentral:tRNA from 1 species
UUCCAAGUGGCUCAGUGGUAAAGAAUCUGCCUGCCAAGCAGGAGACACAGGUUCAACCUCUGGGUUGGAAA